rnacentral:rRNA from 1 species
GGUCAGCGACUUAUAUUCUGUAGCAAGGUUAACCGUAUAGGGGAGCCGAAGGGAAACCGAGUCUUAACCGGGCGUUAAGUUGCAGGGUAUAGACCCGAAACCCGGUGAUCUAGCCAUGGGCAGGUUGAAGGUUGGGUAACACUAACUGGAGGACCGAACCGACUAAUGUUGAAAAAUUAGCGGAUGACCUGUGGCUGGGGGUGAAAGGCCAAUCAAACCGGGAGAUAGCUGGUUCUCCCCGAAAGCUAUUUAGGUAGCGCCUCGUGAAUUCAUCUCCGGGGGUAGAGCACUGUUUCGGCUAGGGGGCCAUCCCGGCUUACCAACCCGAUGCAAACUGCGAAUACCGGAGAAUGUUAUCACGGGAGACACACGGCGGGUGCUAACGUCCGUCGUGAAGAGGGAAACAACCCAGACCGCCAGCUAAGGUCCCAAAGUCAUGGUUAAGUGGGAAACGAUGUGGGAAGGCCCAGACAGCCAGGAUGUUGGCUUAGAAGCAGCCAUCAUUUAAAGAAAGCGUAAUAGCUCACUGGUCGAGUCGGCCUGCGCGGAAGAUGUAACGGGGCUAAACCAU